CAGAAUAGAUGUAACAUUUUGUAUGCUCUAAAGUAUUGGUAUGUGUUUAAUCUUUACAUAAUAUCAUUGUAUUCUAUACAUACAGAAUAGAUGUAACAUUGUGUAUGCUUAAAAGAAUUGGUAUGUGUUUAAUCUUUACAUAAUAUCAUUGUAUACUAUACAUACAGAAUAGAUGUAACAUUUUGUAUGCUCUAAAGUAUUGGUAUGUGUUUAAUCUUUACAUAAUAUCAUUAUAUACUGUACAUAUAGAGCAGAUGUAACAUGGCUAAAACAAACAUAGAUAGAUGUAAAGAAAGUUUAUAAAUAUAUAUAUAUAUAUAGAAGUAAUUUAUUUAUUAUCAUUAGGUUCAACUAAAAUUGGCAAAAAGUUUGUAAGUAAACAACAAACAGUGAAAAUCUGAUUAGCUGUUGAAUGUAAUGAUAAUGGUAGAACACCAUCAAGGAUGUGGUAAUUUUUUACCCUUCCAAUGGCACGCUCCACAUGAAUGCGUACAGAAGCAAUGCGAGCAGUUUCUUCUGUCUCAUUCGCUGUCAGUUGUGCUCGUGUACCCUUGAAAGGUGGGAUGUUUAGAGUCACUCCAGGAGGAAGAAUAUCUUUGACAUCAAAGCCACGGUCAGCCAUAAGGUUAUCACCAUCCUCAAGAAGGGCUAGAACACCUGACUUAAGAGUGAUUUCUUUAUCAGAGACCUUACCAGACCAUAACUUUGAGACAAAGGUAAUUAAGCCAGAGGGUGAUAUGCCAAUUAAAACUUUCCAUGUAUUAUGGUGCUUGUAUUCGGACCAUGUCUGGGACUGUGCUUUCAUAGAUGAUGGAACCUCUGCAAAUAUUUCUGUGCAAUCAAUGAUUAAUCUCGUUGUUGGAAAAUCUUUAAAUUGAGCAGGCAUGGCUUGACGAACAACCUCUUGAGAAGGGGGUUCGAAAAGCAGUGGGAGUUCGUGGUAAAGAAAACAAAUCCAUGUUGUAAAGAUUUUUGAAACCUGACUGGAAGAAAUUCCAAAACGACCAGCUAAAUCAUCAAUAAACAAACCAACUUUCAGUCUCAUUAGAACAAGAAUGAAUUCUUCCAGAUGAGUGAGAGAGCGCUUUGGGCCACGUGAAGACUUGGUGUGAUAAUCAUCAGAGCUUUGUGAAGACUUGUUACCACGCCAAUAUUGCAUUUGCAGGACUUUAGGCUCAAAGUACUCAAAUGUUGACAUCAGUGUAGGAAAGUUUGGAAAACCAGUGUAAAACUUUGUUGCAGAACUAUCAGACUUUAACUUUCAAUAGAAAAAAGAGACAGUUUAACUUGAGCAAGCUUCAACUCUAGCUGUUCCACUUGAUUUUCUAAUUUAAUUACUUUGGCAGAGAGCUCUUGACUUUGAGAUUGCAGAGUGUCACUUUUGAUGAAUGAAUCCAUUAUAUCAUUUUCCAUCUUUUCAAAAUCAAUUGGAAGGUAUGUUGGGGAAUUUACAAAAGAGAAAUCAGUUUGUGUUGAUAUUGAUACAGUUGAUGUAGAAAGAUCUUCUUCAAACGGAGAGCCAAGUUCAGCAUCAAUUUCACCACCAAAGCUUGAAAACUGUUAAGAUGUAUCCUGAGAUGAGCUGGGGAAUAUUUGAAAACGAGCUGAUGGAGGUUUUCGUGCUUUGCAUUUGCCUCCUGUUGAAGGGACAGUACCAGCCACAAGAUUCAAGGAGGGUACAGCACCAGGAACAAGUCGCCAAUGGUUCGGGUUUCGCUUUAUAUCAGCUGACGUAAAAUGCUUUUCACACAAAAAGGUCGAGCUGCUGACCUUAAAACCAUCCAUGCCGUCAAUCCUUUUUAUCAAAGAGCACCAGCGAUGCUUUUCAGGAUUUGACUUGGGAAAAGCAAAGAAAUGUAGGCCAGUUCGAGAUCCAUCGGAGUUAUAAAAGUAGCUAUAGCAUCCAUAAGCGGCGCAUUGACGUCCAAAAGAUCGUUUUUUCUUCUUGGAUAUAUCUUGACCUAUAUCUAAUAUGUCUUCGCUGCUCAUUUUAACAAUAAAAUUUUAACGUAAUUCUAUAAAAAAGAUAAGCUACGAUUGUUAAUCCUUGUCGCACCGCACCGUAUGAAAGGAGAUGAGACGAAACUACAUCAGUUGCCUCGAUUCCAAGCGUUCGUCUCUCAUUCAAAUACUGCGUGACGUAAUUGUGAAAGGGCUCAAUUCUGGUUGGUUACUAUCAACAAAGAACGAAACUUCUGAUUCGUCUAAGUUUUAAUAUUAGAUCAUUCUGCGCUCAGUGUUUUAUAUCUUAUCUGUAGAGGCAUUGUGAUGACACAUUGCCAGCAGUGCAUGUUUGUUAAUCGCAUUUCAUAACCUAUACCGCUGCUUUCAAAUGUGAAUUCCGAAAAUCAAACACUGAGAUUUUGACUAUAGCUCGAGCUACAGUUGCUAUAGUCUGGAUCCGCUCCUGAAUACAACAGCUUCUUGUUAUUCACAUCGAUAUGCACUUUGAACCAAAAGUCAUUCUUCCUUUCUCACCUCCGCCCCUCCCAAUUUUGUCCUAAUAAUCAGUAAGCAGUUUUUUUAAGAUCAUCGAAUUCUCUGUUCUGAGGGUCAUAGUAAUUUGUUAAAUUUUAGUCUGGGAGAUGAAUCUUUAGCCAUUCUAGAAGGCUGAAUUUCAAAAAUUUUCUUUCGCGUCGCACCCAACGAUGGUGGGUCCUCCUAAAAUCUGGAAUUCACUCUCGGAAUCAAUAAAGACAGCAAUUUGAUCAAAACUUGGUUCCUUGAAAACAGUAGCCUGCGUGCAGACUUUACUAACCGUUGCGAAGGAGAGCCAUGGCUCUCCUUCGCAACGGAUAGUAAAUUCUGCACACAGGCUAUGAAAACAGGUGCGCAUGCUCGUUUUGCAGUAAAUGAACUGUCUUAUGCAAUCCUUGACACUAUUGUAAAAACUAACUUUAAAUAAUCUACAAUACAAUACAAUACAAUCACUAAAUUUGAUUCUCAGCUCCGCUCCCACGCUAACGACCUCUUGAAAUAACUUUCGCCGAAAAAAAAGUUUGUCUUCAGGUUUCUUCAAAAAUACCGACAUUUGUAAAAGAAAACCCAUUUACGAAAGGUCAGCCGCAGCCGGCCCUUGCACGUGACAGGGACGGGAUCCACGCUAGGCCUUCGGGGGGAAACUACACUGAUCUAUAAAAAGUCUUGAACGAGCUUCUAAUGUGACCAGAGUGUCGCCGUUCGAGAAGGGGGCCCCAGAACAGCCCAUGCGAGGAGACGGCCUUCUCUGUCACCCCUAGCAAUGUUUUCAGCUGCUCUGGCCUUUUUCAGCAAUCAGUAACACAGCAUUGCAGCAUUGCAGCCAGUGGCGAAGCGAGAGGUCAUGCAGGUCAUGCAAAGCAUGACCAAAAAGAUUUCUAGAAAAUUAUUUUUUACUCUAGGACCAAAAGCUCUAAAAAGUUUAGAUGGGGGUUUUUUAACAUUGAAAGUUCUCCAAAAUCAAACAAAAAUUAUUCUUUGCGUACUUUUAUGUAACUCCGUAGGCGCAAACGUAGGGUUUCUACAUUUGAAACUCAAUAAAGCUCAAGGGUUUCCAAUUUAGUCAUGCAAAUAUCACAGGGAUCCCAAUCUAGUCAUGCACUUUCAAAUGUGCAUGACUCAAACCCUAUCUUUAGUCAUGCAAAACCACGCGCAACAAUGGAAACAGCCCUGGAAACAUGAUGAUUAUCACGCUUUAGUCAUGCACUUUUGGAAUGGCAUGACCAUGACCUUGAUCGCAUGAUCGCAUCGCUUCCCUGUUCGAGUUCAAAAAGUGAGACUGAAGAGGAAGUAUGCUAGUUCACGAGGAAAGGGAUUUCGUGAAAUGUUACCCUGCAAGUAAUAUAGCAGCAACGAAAUGUGGAAAAAUAACAGUUCCAUGGUUUUAAAGGAUUGAUGUAGCAAAAUAAAAGUUGGCAGUGGAACAGAUUCUUCCUGUUGUGGACUAUGUUUGCUAACACAUAUAUUUAGGCCUGUGGGAUAUGACAUGCACGAACUAGGCCUACGGCGCCUGAUAAUAAGGCAGGCAACGCUCAUAUUGCAAGAAAAAAAAUGAAACAAACUGCCUGGUUUUAAUAUCAUUAUAUUGCUGUACAGAUUAUUGGCAAGCCCAAAGUAUUCCAUGCUUUGAUAAUGGAAUGGCUAGUGGACUUACAUGCUAAAUUUCCAUUGAAAUAUUCAGAAUGAGUGUCUCUAGAACUUGUUGUUAGUAGAAGAAACACAAAUGCUUCAUUGUUGUUGCUUUUUAGAGACAUGCAAUGCAAGUUUGAGAUACAACGAGGCAUGAAAUUAGUGUUGUCUUAACCUUUUCAGUAUUUAUCUUAUAAUGGCCUUUUUUGUUAUGAUGUUUGUGAGAUGGGAGUAUUGAGAUUGUUUCAGAGGAGAACUCUCCAUUUUCUGAUUAUAAUCUGUUUUGAUAAAUUAAGAAUAAUGAAUUAAAAAAAAUGAGGUAUAGCAUGAACAUAGACUAGGGGGCAUUAAUUUUUUUAUUUGUAAAAUUACACUAUUUGUACUUAUAAAUACAAUAGUUCUAAGUAAGGAAUUAUUGAAGGGUCAUCAAAAGUGUAUUUAUCUUGUCAGGGCAAAAAUGUGUUUAUCUUAUCCUUGUCGAAAUGUGUUUAUCUGCUCUUGAAAUAGUAAAUAUUUAUAAAUUGAAUGUCAAAGUUUUCAAGCAAGUUAACAUUAAAAACAAGUUAACAUUUUAAUUUCAGAAUUUAAAAACAUGUUUAGCACCUAAAGCCAAAGCUUCAUCAAAACAUGUCUCAAAAAAGUUCUGAAAAUUAUUCUUUUGCAAAUUUUUAAAAGUUUUAUGCCCACCUAAGGCUUUUCUGGGUAUUUUCACAAUCAGGGGCGGAUACAAACAAAACUUUAACAUUCUCAAAACCCAUUAUAACCGACCGACCACGCCCUUUUCCCGGAAACGCCCAAGAAAUUGUUUUCUGUCUUUUAUGGAUGCAAUGAUUAAAAUUAUUGAAAUUUUAAGAGGAGGAAUAGAAACAAACAAUAUGAAGUGGCAGACACCCAGGGGGAUGAAGGGAGGUAGUUGUCCCCCAACAUUUUGGGAAGACAGAGGUCUUUUAUUCUAAAAAGAAUGGACAAAUGUGAUGUCAUCUUAUCAAAAAACUAGGCUUGCCCCCUCAUAUUAUUGCCCAAAAAAACAAUGAUGCAACAUUAAAGAAUUGCUUAAUAAGCAUAGCAACACUAGUAAUUGAAAAUUGGGUAAUGCAGGGAAAAAUAACACAAAGAUCAAGACAAAAUGUUUGUGGCAAAUUGUGCUUGGUUUUCUAAUGGUUUAACAUGUGGAAUUUUAUAGAAAGAAGUGUAGUUUUGUGGACAUCCAAAUUAUUGAUAAAAAUUUAAGGACACAAGAUUCAUCAUAGAAGAGAAUUAUUAACGAAAGUUGACCAAUGAAAUUACUAAAAAUGCAGGCACUUUUCAGAGCAUACAAGCCACAGAAACUUAGACAAAGAAUUGGGUAAAAACCUUUUCUAGUAACAAAAAUAGACUGCUAAGGCUAGUCAACUUCUUUCUGGAUGCUAACUCUCUUAAAUGCAUCAUAUCUUUUGGCAUAUGAUAAUUGCACUGCUUUAGAGUAAAAUAUUUCUGCAUCAAAGUCAAAGUCUGUAUAUCUGUUUCAGAUUUGUUGUUCAUCAUUUGGAAAUACAUGGAAGAAAAAUUACUUUGGGAUGACUGUCUAUUUAGUAGAUCCAUCAAAUUUAAAUUUGAAUCUUCUGAGGCCUGACACUUUAUACUAAACUUCCCUCUGCUUAGCUUUCAGAAGCACUUUCUUUUGCCAAAGAAAAUGAAUAUAAUUUUUUGGCUUCAUAAUCUUUCCUUCCACAGAUCAGGGGCGGAUUCAGGGUGUCGCACAGGUCGCACGGAAGACCGUCAGAUUUUCAGAAUUUAGUUUAAGUCUUCAGUCAUUGAAAUAAGGCAAUCAUGUUUAUCACAAUCUUUUAUUGUCCUCCUUAAAGAUAAUACAUUUUGCUCUCUUUACACAAUAAACACAGCACCGAACUUGGUCGAUCUCACACACAAUGCUACGAUUUAAUUCAAGAUAGAAAAAAUUCCAAUACCAUCCUAGACCGUAAACAGUAUGAUUUUUAAGCAUGUCGCCCUUUGCAGGGCUCUUUGUUAUGUAAAUAUUUUACCAAAUCUCACCAAUCAAA